rnacentral:rRNA from 1 species
UACGUAGGUGACCAGCGUUGUCCGGAUUUAUUGGGCGUAAAGAGCUCGUAGGUGGUUCGGUAAGUCGGAUGUGAAAUCUCCAGGCUCAACCUGGAGGGGUCAUUCGAUACUGCCGUGACUAGGGUUCGGUAGGGGAGUGUGGAAUUCCUGGUGGAGCGGUGAAAUGCGCAGAUAUCAGGAGGAACACCCGUAGCGAAGGCGGCACUCUGGGCCGAUACUGACACUGAGGAGCGAAAGCGUGGGGAGCGAACAGG